CAUCGCCAAUAAUCAACCUGCGCUGCUGCACAGGAGCAUCCCGGCUGUCGGCGGUCCCUCUCUGCCUUCCCGCUGGAUGUUUGCGCAGAGAGCCGCCGCUCUUCAUCACCUCUGAACUUGGAGGCGCUCCGGUUCCGACACCAUGGCGCUUUCUGGGUGACGGAUCCUUUCGGCUUUAUUUGGGAAAGUUGCGCUGCGUCAUGGACCAACAGCGCAAACUUUAAGAGCUUUUUUCCCCUUUUCUUCUUCUUCUUCUGAAGAGAGAGUUAUUUCACAAUGAAGGCAGGUGAAUCACCCGCGGCGCUCCUCAAGUAGACUGGGCUGGGAAAGGCGACACGGAGGGAGUCGUGCUGCAUGCGGAGGACCGGGGAACUGGACCGAUGAGACAACAUGGGUCCGCUGCUGUGUGAUGGAAGGCUGACAUGCUUUCUUUUCCCUCUGCUCCUGCUCCUGCGAGCUCCUUUGCUGUUCAGCUUUGGUGAGCGCACGUGCCCCAACAGCUGCCGCUGUGAGGGGAAAACGAUCCACUGCGACUCCUCUGGGUUUUUAGAAGUCCCGGAAAACAUCUCAGUAGGCUGCCAGGGUCUCUCCCUGCGCUACAAUGAACUACAUACCCUGCUACCUUACCAAUUUGCUCACCUGGGACAGCUUCUUUGGAUCUACCUGGACCAUAAUCAAAUUUCAGUCGUUGACAGUCGAGCGUUCCAGGGAGUUCGAAGGCUUAAAGAGUUGAUACUGAGCUCCAACCGGAUCGCGUCUCUACAUAACUCGACAUUCCAUGGCGUCCCCAACCUUCGUAGCCUUGACUUGUCCUACAACAAACUGGAAAUCCUGCAGCCGGGUCAAUUCCACGGCUUACGAAAACUACAAAACCUUCACCUGCGCUCAAACGGUCUCUCCAACAUCCCGAUUCGAGCGUUUUUGGAGUGCAGAAGUUUGGAAUUUCUGGAUUUGGGCUACAAUCGAAUCAAGGCUCUCACUCGCACCACCUUCUUGGGAUUGCAAAGGCUGAUGGAGUUGCAUCUAGAGCACAACCAGUUCUCCAGGAUCAAUUUUUUUCUGUUUCCACGCUUAGCCAAUCUGAGAUCCCUCUAUUUGCAGUGGAAUCGCAUCAGAGUGGUCAACCAGGGUCUUCCCUGGACUUGGUACACUCUGCAGAAACUGGAUCUGUCCGGGAAUGAAAUUCAGACGCUAGACCCGGCUGUUUUCCACUGCUUACCCAACCUUCAAGUCCUGAACUUGGAAUCCAACAAAUUGUCCAAUGUGUCCCAAGAGGCUGUGACGGCCUGGAUCUCACUGACCACUAUUAGCCUGGCUGGCAACAUAUGGGACUGUGGAGCGGGCAUUUGCCCCCUUGUUGCCUGGUUGAGAAAUUUCCGGGGCAGUAAAGACACCACCAUGAUCUGCAGCAGCCCCAAGCAUCUCCAGGGAGAGAAAAUCAUGGAGGUCACACGGAACCACGGCAUUUGCGAGGAGAAUGAUUACUUUAUGACUGAAACGCCAUCACCGAUGCCGGAGCUAAUCUCUGACGCCACAGCUGAACCAACCUUUGCCUCCACCAGUUGUUCGCCAACGACCCCACCAACCAGCACCUUUGGUCCCCUCCCACCCUUCAGACUUCGACCAAUUCCUCAUCCAACCUACCCAGGCCACAUGAGCAAAGACACUAGAAACACAGCGAUUCGCACUCGGCCCACCCUCAUAUCGCCCCCGGCGAUGGAGCACAUGGCGCUGCACAAAGUGGUGGUGGGCAGCGUGGCGCUCUUCUUCACCAUGUCACUCAUCUUGACCAUUAUCUAUGUGCUGUGGCGGCGUUACCCGGGCGCUACGCGGUUGCUGCAGCAGCGGCCAGUGGUGGGACGGAAGCGGCGCAAAAAGAGCCCAGAGCCCGAACAAAACCUCAGCUCCCAACUCCAAGAGUAUUACAUGAGUUACAACCCCGCUGCCACACCAGAGGCACUGGAGGUGCUUGGCAACGGCACUGGUUCCUGCACUUGCACAAUUUCUGGCUCCAGGGAGUGUGAGGUAUGACCCAUCACCUCAGCCUAAAAAUAAAAAGUCUAAAUCAAACACAAGGCUCAACAGAGAGAACGAGUACACGUGUCCACGCCCCCUACCUGGUGCCUGGCUGGGAGAUGUGCCUACAAUCCAUUAACUGUCAGAGAAAGGACUGUUUGAGAUGAUGCAACAAAUCAAAGCCCGUCCCGCGAGCCCGCCAGGAUUCCUCUCUCAUCGCUCAGAUCGGAGGAGACACUUCAGUCGUCCUCCAUGCAAACGGAUUCAAUCGAUCCAGUAGAAAAAGAGGAGAUAAUGUGGUGGCUUCUCUCUUUUUUCUUAAGAUUUUAUAACAUCUUUUUUUUAUUAUUAUUAUCAUUUGGUCGUUGGCAUUUCUCAUGAUGCUCACCUCACAAACACACGCACCGAUGGUUGAGGAUUCCUGUUGUGCGGACUAAUGAGAGCCAAGGGAUGGAUACAAUAAAGAUGGCCGCCCACUGCAGGGACCCUAAUGGCUUAUUGUCUCCUUCAGGACAACAUGGCGUCGUACAGAAAGGACAAGCUGUUCCUACAACACGGGGGUGUGUAAUUUAAACUGGGUUUCCAUGUUUUCAACUCCUGUGAAGCAUCAUUAUAUAAUCUUUCAGUACAUUUUUAAAAAAAAAAGAAAGACUAAUCAUGAGCUGCGAUGGUUCCUCGCAGAAAGUACGAAAAGAGGAAUCCGCUGUGGUUGUUUUGAAGUAUUUUGUUUUGUUCGGAGAGUUUUCUAAAUUCUUUCCAAAUAAAAUGAAAUUUCAAGGAUAACUUUUAAUAAGGGAGACAAAAAAAACAACAAAAAACAGAAAUGAGGACAGAUGUUCCAAUCAAGGACAAAUUGUGGUUUCCAGAAGUUCUGCUGUUGUUAAUGUGUUUUUAUUUUCUUUAAUUUUGUUUUUUAAGAAACAAAAAUGUGUGUUUUGAGCAACAGAUACCAAAGAGCCAAAUGAAUCCUUCUUUAUUUUUGGCUCACCUUAACAUACGGGCGCAUCUCAAAACAUUUCUGUAUCAAACAAAAAGUUAAUUUACUUCAGUGAAACUGGAGCUUCAGAAAGUCGUUUAUUUCUGUUAGUUGUGAUGAUUACAGCUUAAACCAAGUUUAAACGAAACAUAAACAGUUUCCCAGAAAGUUAAAAUAUUACACAGGAACUUUGAGAAAUAUAUAUUUAAAACAGAAAUGCUAUGGAAUCAGACUAGUGACUUGACAGUUAUCCAGCAUCCUCCUUGAGUCCAAGCAAAUUAAAGUUUAGUGAAAGGAAAAACUGUAGUGGAAAAAGUUCCAAAAGCAAUUAAGAACAAAAUAUUUAAUUAGCUUAUUCGCUCAUAUAUAAUUUAUUUCUUAAAAUAUAAAUACAUAUAUAUUUAAAUCAUAUUUAAUUAAAUAUUUUAAUUUAAUUUAAAAUAUAAAUUCUUUUUUUACUUCUAAGUUAGAUUUAUGAAAACGAACAAAAAUAACUGUAAUCCUGCCAAGAAAUUGGUUAUCCAUUUUGUUUGUGCAAUUUGUUUCCCACUGCAUGUUUUCCUUCCACUAAACUUUCCCCCAAUAUGCUUGGAUACAUGACUCUGAGCGGCCAUUUAUGACAAAUCGUGGCUUAUCUUCUGUCUAUAGAGAGAAAUAAAUGGACAAUGGGGAAGUUUCUCCAUGUUUGUUAUGACAUUUCUGUAAUAACUUCUUUUCUAAAGGGAGAUUUCAUGUAAGAAAACAAAUUAGUCAUAAGGCUUAUUUAUCAAAAUUAACAGAAAUAAAAGCUUUAAAUAUGUCUUAAGCGGCAUUACUGAAAUAAAUAAACUUUAAAUGAGAUGCACCUAUAGUUCACGACAAAUCUGGUAUUUGUUUUCUUUACAGAUUAAAUAUUGAAAAAGGCCUCGACUCCCUGCAGGUCCAGCAGUGCUUUGCUGCUUUGCUGCUUUUCUUUCUUUUCUUUCUCCUUUUUUCUUUCCAUCAUGUGUGCAACGUGUGUGUCUUUGUGAAUAAACGACCUUGCAGCGGCAGGAAGAUCUUGUCGGAAAGAAAACUCUCAGCACUGCUUUGCAUUGUAAAACUUUUCUUAAACCAGAAUUAAUUUUAAAAAAGUAAAAAUCAUGCUUUCUUCAAAAACAGUCACCCUGCUCGCCCCCCUUCAACAGACUGCAUAAUGUUGCUGUGCACGGUUCUGCGUGGGCUUGUGUUGCUCUUUAUUUUUUUGGUUUUUAUUGUAUUUGAAACCCACUGAGUUGUGGAUUGUUUGAACCUGUACUCUUUCUACACAAGAAGAAGAAGAAGAAUACUUUUGUAAUGUAAAUCUCUACUUCUUCUUCUUCUUCUUCUCCUCAUUUGGAUUUGUUGCGGUAUUCUUUGUUCACUUUCAACAGUAUGUUUUAUAAUUAAAAUGAUGACUUUACUGGUGAGCAAUAGUAAUUGGUCAAAUUAAAAACCUCCAUUGACCCUUUUGUGUGUUACAGA